rnacentral:rRNA from 1 species
UACGUAUGGUGCAAGCGUUAUCCGGAAUUACUGGGCGUAAAGGGUGAGUAGGCGGUCAAUUAAGUCAUAUGUGAAAAUCCAGGGCUCAACCCUGGACGUGCAUAAGAAACUGGUAGACUGGAGUGCAGGAGAGGUAAGCGGAAUUCCUAGUGUAGCGGUGAAAUGCGUAGAUAUUAGGAAGAACACCAGUGGCGAAGGCGGCUUACUGGACUGUAACUGACGCUGAUGCACGAAGGCCAGGGGAGCAAACGGG